rnacentral:rRNA from 1 species
CCUACGGGAGGCUGCAGUGGGGAAUAUUGGACAAUGGGCGAAAGCCUGAUCCAGCCAUGCCGCGUGUGUGAAGAAGGCCUUCGGGUUGUAAAGCACUUUCAGUGGGGAAGAAAGCCUUGGGGCUAAUACCCUCGAGGAAGGACAUCACCCACAGAAGAAGCACCGGCUAACUCCGUGCCAGCAGCCGCGGUAAUACGGAGGGUGCGAGCGUUAAUCGGAAUUACUGGGCGUAAAGCGCGCGUAGGCGGUCUGAUAAGCCGGUUGUGAAAGCCCCGGGCUCAACCUGGGAACGGCAUCCGGAACUGUCAGGCUAGAGUGCAGGAGAGGAAGGUAGAACUCCCGGUGUAGCGGUGAAAUGCGUAGAGAUCGGGAGGAAUACCAGUGGCGAAGGCGGUCUUCUGGACUGACACUGACGCUGAGGUGCGAAAGCGUGGGUAGCAAACAGGAUUAGAUACCCCAGUAGUC